rnacentral:rRNA from 1 species
GAUGAACGCUGGCGGCGUGCCUAACACAUGCAAGUCGAACGGAGUCGUUUUGGAAAUCUCUUCGGAGAUGGAAUUCUCGACUUAGUGGCGGACGGGUGAGUAACGCGUGAGCAAUCUGCCUUUAAGAGGGGGAUAACAGUCGGAAACGGCUGCUAAUACCGCAUAAAGCAUUAAAUUCGCAUGUUUUUGAUGCCAAAGGAGCAAUCCGCUUUUAGAUGAGCUCGCGUCUGAUUAGCUAGUUGGCGGGGUAACGGCCCACCAAGGCGACGAUCAGUAGCCGGACUGAGAGGAUGAACGGCCACAUUGGGACUGAGACACGGCCCAGACUUCUACGGGAGGCAGCAGUGGGGAAUAUUGCGCAAUGGGGGAAACCCUGACGCAGCAACGCCGCGUGAUUGAAGAAGGCCUUCGGGUUGUAAAGAUCUUUAAUCAGGGACGAAACAAAUGACGGUACCUGAAGAAUAAGCUCCGGCUAACUACGUG